UAGUCCCCAUAGAGCCGUGGAAGACGACCACGUUGAUAGGCUGGAUGUGGAAGUGCGGUAACGCAUGAAGCUGACCAGUACUAAUCGCUCAAUCGACUUGAUCGU
rnacentral:rRNA from 1 species